AUACGUAGGUGGCAAGCGUUGUCCGGAUUUAUUGGGCGUAAAGCGAGUGCAGGUCGGUCUUUUAAGCUUGAUGUGAAAGCCUUCGGCUUAACCGAAGAAGGGCAUCGGAAACUGGGAGACUUGAGUGCAGAAGAGGAGAGUGGAACUCCAUGUGUAGCGGUGAAAUGCGUAGAUAUAUGGAAGAACACCAGUGGCGAAGGCGGCUGUCUGGUCUGUAACUGACGCUGAGGCUCGAAAGUAUGGGUAGC
rnacentral:rRNA from 1 species